AUUCCAGCUCCAAUAGCGUAUAUUAAUGUUGUUGCAGUUAAAAAGCUCGUAGUUGGAUUUCUGGUGGGAGCGGCCGGUCCGCCGUAAGGUGUGUACUUGGUUGUCUCCUGUCAUCCUUGUGGGAACUGCUCUGGCAUUAAGUUGUCGGGGUUAGGGAACACAUCGUUUACUGUGAAAAAAUUAGAGUGUUUAAAGCAGGCUUAUGCCGUUGAAUACAUUAGCAUGGAAUAAUAAGAUAGGACUUUGGCGUCUAUUUUGUUGGUUUGCACACCAAGGUAAUGAUUAAUAGGGAUAGUUGGGGGUAUUCGUAUUUAAUUGUCAGAGGUGAAAUUCUUGGAUUUAUGAAAGACGAACUUCUGCGAAAGCAUUUACCAAAGAUGUUUUCAUUA
rnacentral:rRNA from 1 species